rnacentral:lncRNA from 1 species
CUCGUCCUCUGUCGUCCCCUUCUCCUCCUGCCUUCAAUCCUUCCCAGCUUCAGGGUCUUUUCUAAGGAGUCAGUUCUGUGUAUCAGGUGGCCAAAGUAUUGGAGCUUCAGCUUCAGCAUCAGUUCUUCCAAUGAAUACCCAGGAUUGAUUUCCUUUAGGACUGACUGGUUCGAUCUCCUUGUAGUCCAAGGGACUCUUAAGAGUCUUCUCUAGCACCCCAGUUGGGGCUUGUUUACCUGUGUAUAAAGAUAAACAUGUGGAUUCUCAUAACAACUCCGACUCACUCUCUCUGUCUCUUUUUCCCCCUCUUUUAGGCCACGUGGUGCAACAUGUGGGAUCUUAUUUCUGCAACCGAGGAUCGAACCCUUGUCCCUUGCAGUGGAAGUGCAGAGUCUUAACCACUGGACCACCAAGGAAGUCCUUCUCUGCACCUUUCUAUCUAUCUACCUAUCUAUAUUUCUCUAUCUAACUAUAUCUGUAUAUCUAUAGAGAGACAGAGAGAAAAGGAGAGAGGGAGAAAGGGAAAGAGGACUUUAGGGAAGGUAGCUGUGUGUCUGGGCACAAGGUCUGGACUUGGGAGUAAAUAGCCCUUUCUAUAUUUUGAAUUUUGAAUCAUGUGACCAUUUUGCCUAUUUAAAGUCUCAUUCAAAUUAGACGUAUCUGUUUAUCAUUCUGAUCAUUCUGUCCUCCGGAUGACCUGCAAGAGAGAGAGAGCAGCUAGGCUCCCGCCCACCUGGCAGAGGAGGGCGGUGCCGUGACUUGCUCAAGGUCACUCAGAGAGGGCAUGGCUAAUCCAGGCCCCGAACCCAGCUCCAUGUUACAGGACUCUCCUGCGGCCUCGGGUUGGCGGCUCGGAGCCUUCAGCUCUCCGGGUUGCUUGCGGUCGCUCCGUCCCGGGGAGGGGCCUCCCCGGCGGAGGGAGCAGCGUCUUCGCUGGAUCUAGCAGAGGUUCUAGGAACACACACUCCACAGACAGCUCUGCAAGGGAGGAGGUAGGAGCCCCAGGAAGGGACAUAACUCAUCCAGGAUCACCAGGAGGUGAGACUCGGAAACCUGGCUCUUUUUCCCAAUGCACAGCUCCUGAAUGGUGGCCUUGUCUUGGGGGCAUUUUUGAACUGAUACUUGAACUGGCAUCUGGGAGAGCGGAAACUCCUCACAAACCCAGGAACUAGUCUUUCUCUGCUU